CCUGAGUGUUCCACAUGUCAGGAGACCAUCAAACUGAUCAGGCCCCAUAACAUCAUACCUGACCUGGCCCCUUUCAGCUUGCUGAGAGGAAGUGACUUCGGGUCAUUUCCCCCAAGUUUUCUGAAAGAGAGAAGAUGCCACAGAGUGGAUGUGUAGAGGAACGAAGGAAGCUUGGCGUCUCACAUCCUGCUGCCAGCUCUUAC